GGCGACAUGGCCGACCGGUCUAAGGCACUAGAAUCAGGAAAAUCCUAUCUAGUCUUUCGGGGCGGGAGUUCGAAUCUCCCUGUCAUCA